UAAAAUUAGGAUUACCCCGGGGGUAGUCCCCAACCGCCCGUUAAAACGAUGGAGUGUCGUAAGUGUUUAGUAGGGGUUUUCCGUCCCCGUUUUAGUUGCUGCAAGCAAACCGCAUUAAGCACCUCCGCCUGGGGAGUACGGUCGCAAGACUGAAACUCAAAGGAAUUGGACGGGGGGCCCGCACAAGCGGUGGAGCAUGUGGUUUAAUUCGAAGCAACGCGAAGAACCUUACCAGGUCUUGACAUCCUCUGACACCCCCUAGAGAUAGGGCUUCCCCUUCGGGGGCAGAGUGACAGGUGGUGCAUGGUUGUCGUCAGCUCGUGUCGUGAGAUGUUGGGUUAAGUCCCGCAACGAGUCGCAACCCUUGAUCUUAGUUGCCCAGUCAUUCAGUUGGGCACGUCUAAAGGGUGACUGGCCGGUGACAACCGGAGGAAGGUGGGGAUGACGGUCAAAUCAUCAUGCCCCUUAUGACCUGGGCUAACACACGUGCUACAAUGGGCAGAACAAGGGCAGCGAAGCCCGNGAGGCCUAAGCCAAUCCCCANAAACUCUGCCUGUUCCAGUUCGGAUCGCCGU
rnacentral:rRNA from 1 species